rnacentral:ribozyme from 1 species
UACCUAGCAACUCCUAUCUCAACCUCUUCGUGGUUCUGGUCGGGCUACGAGUAACCUUAGGGAAGAUCUGGUAACCAACCCCGGUGGGAACUUUGCUCGUUUGCAGACAGGGAGGG